GCUGGGCGUGGUGAUGCACACCUGUAAUCCCAGCAACUUGGGAGGCUGAGACAGGAGGAUCACAAGUUCAAAGCCAGCCUCAGCAAUUUAGUGAGACCCUGUUC
rnacentral:sRNA from 1 species